UACGGAGGGAGCUAGCGUUAUUCGGAAUUACUGGGCGUAAAGCGCACGUAGGCGGCUUUGUAAGUCAGAGGUGAAAGCCUGGAGCUCAACCCCAGAACUGCCUUUGAUACUGAAGAUCUUGAGUAUGGGAGAGGUGAGUGGAACUGCGAGUGUAGAGGUGAAAUUCGUAGAUAUUCGCAAGAACACCAGUGGCGAAGGCGGCUCACUGGCCCAUUACUGACGCUGAGGCACGAAAGCGUGGGGAGCAAACAGG
rnacentral:rRNA from 1 species